rnacentral:rRNA from 1 species
AACGAACGCUGGCGGCAUGCCUAACACAUGCAAGUCGAACGAUAACUGCGGGUCUAUUGGCGCACGGGUGCGUAACGCGUGGGAACCUGCCCAUAGGUUCGGAAUAACUCCCCGAAGGGGGUGCUAAUACCGGAUAAUGUCUUCGGACCACAGAUCUAUCGCCUUUGGAUGGGCCCGCGUUGGAUUAGCUAGUUGGUAGGGUAAAAGCCGACCUAGGCGACGAGCCCUAGCGGGUCUGAGAGGCUGACCAGCCACACUGGAACUGAGACACGGUCCAGACUCCUACGGGAGGCAGCAGUGGGGAAUAUUGCACAAUGGGCGCAAGCCUGAUGCAGCCAUGCCGCGUGUAUGAAGAAGGCCUUCGGGUUGUAAAGUACUUUAAGCGGGGAGGAAGGGAGUAAAGUUAAUACCUUGGCUCAUUGACGUUACCCGCAGAAGAAGCACCGGCUAACUCCGUG